GAUAAGAACGAAGUUCAUAACAUCUGGAGAACCCAAUAUGGAAAUUCAUAAAAGUGGAGUUUUAGCAGCAUGAUUUUACAAUUCAUGAAGUUGUUAUCUCUUGCCUCAGAGUGCAGGGAUAAUCCACAGUAAACUCCAGUAAAAAGUCUCAAUCACCUUCUACUAUAACUAUAUGGAAUAUAGAACAUAAAGUCUUGAUUUUUGAACUAUCUUUUACAAAGUCCUGGGGGGGGAGGGUGGUCACCUCAAUCACAAAAGGACUUUGUGAAAAGGGUUCCAUAGUGUAGAGCCAUAGCAGUUCAAGUGGCAUCCAACAGAACUGGUAUAUGAUGGAUGGCUGGGUGGGUUGAAGGCUCACCUGGCACAGCAUGUCUGCAGCAUUAAGAAGGGGGCAUUCCUGUUAUUCUUCUUUCCUCAAAGGGAUUCUGGUCUCUUGCAGGGAUUAGGAAUCAGUCGUUGCCUCGCCCUCGGUCCCCGUGUCCUCCUGGGGCCCUUUACUAUCAGAGUACGUGCUAUGAAUAUCUGGAGGAUGCUGUCAGUUGGCAAGAGGCUGAGGUAUGUGAUGGAUUUACACAUUAAGUUAAGGGAACCCAAGGAGAAUAUGGAAUGGUCCAGAUCUAGAAGGGAAAAGGCCUCACAGACACGGUGCGGUUACAAAUGCAUACAUUUGCAGGUUGACAUUUACUGAUAUUCCAAUUUGCUGAUUUGAUUAAAAUGUUCUCGGGGUGGUGGUGGUGGAUACUAAUCUUAUUUAUUUUUAUAUUUAUUUAUACCCCGCUUUAUCUCUCCCAAAGGAGACUCAAAGUGGCUACUCCAGGGCGACGCUAUGGUCAGCAUGUUCAACCACCAGCUGCAAUAAAUCUUGUCAGUUGAGGGGUUGACAGUUCGAAGCCUGGGUCAAGGUUGUCAGAGUUUUAUAUUAUUUAGGUCAUUUCUUAUGUGAAAAUGGAUAAGUGUUUGUAAGAAUCAUGUCCUAUCCAUGUAUGACCAGCAGCAAUCAAGACGCCUGCUAAAGACUGAGUGCUAUUAAUAGAGGCUAAGUAAAUCUUGAGUUAGUGAAUGUGAAUGUGAAUGUUAUUGUGAAGGUGUUGGUGACGAUGAUGGUGUCGCUGUUGGAAAGCUGUUGGAGUGGAGCUGAAGAAAGCUUGAAGAUAACAUUUUGUUUCGCCGGUUGAAAGCUGCUGAUAAAAGCCAAGGACUGUUAUGAUUCCUGCCUGUACUGGCGAGGGGGUCACUUGGCUUCCAUUCAGUCAAUGAAAGAGGAAAAAGAUAUUUCUGAAUACAUCAGGAGAAUCAGCAGGGCAAGCAGUGUCUGGAUUGGUUUCCGUGCCAAACUUGCCUCCUCGUCCAGUAACUACUAUCCUGUAUCCCAUGAAGGAAACCUCUUUCUCCCUCUCUGCCUCUCCUGACUUUGAAUCUCCCUCCAUGCAUGGAAAUUGUCCUGUUUUGUCUCUCAAGAACAGCCUUAAAACACUGUGGUAAGUAAAUGAGAACUGCUUUACUGCAGCAAAACAUAAAGAACAGCACACUCAGUGGAAUAAUGCAAAAGGAAGCAAGGAAGUCUUAGGGCAAACACAGUUCUUAGUCUCUGAUAAAUUCCCAAAUCAAGUAGCAGUCUUACUUCAGACAAAGGAAUGGCAAUAAUUCCUUAGGAGCAGUUUCCCAGAUGCAGACUUGAAGCAGGCACAAGGGGAGCGAAGGCUUAGGCAUUAGAGUCAGUUUAUUUCCAGCAAGAGCUGGCUGCACCUGCUUCUGCUUUAUAGCCCUGAAUUCUGCUAGGGCAGUUCCCAAUUACUCAGCUGCAUUUCUGGCAGCUAUUCUAGCUGAACAACAUCCCUGCUCUGUUUACUUUCGCCUCUCCUGAAAUGUGGGUACUUGCAAAGUCUCCUCCUCAGAUUCCAACUCACCCUCAGAUUCAUGAACACUUUCCUGCUCCCCUUCCUCUUUUGAAGAAGAGGAAUCCCUAACAGAAAUGCUCUCUUCUCUUCCACAGAAGCUCAAAGCCCCCCCUCCCAUUCAUGAAAAUGGUAUUUUCUCUCUCCUGCAGAAGUUCACGUGGGGAUGGAGUGAUGGUGUCAAAUACGUUCCUGGAUCUGCUCUCUGGGACAACAGGAGACCCAGCACCAGCAGCUCAUAUGACCAGUGUGUUGCGCUCCGCAGUGUGCAGGAUUCAACAGGUUCUAUCAGGUGGUGGCAAUACAGUUGCUCCACCAGAUAUCCAUACCUGUGCAAGUACCGAGCGGCAUUCUAGGCCUGUGAUGGCAACACUUGGAGCAUGAAGAGAGGACAUCCCUUGAGAUCCAGCGGAAGAAGGCUGCAUCUAGCAAGGCACCACAUUCCCCAAAUGUUCCAUCAUCAAGAAAAGACCUUGCGUUCUCCUGUUCCUGGGGGUCUCUUUCAAAUCUCAGAUGCUUUGUGCUUUUCUUCCCAUUUACAGCCCAAUGCCUGUACCUUUCCCUUCUUUUGAUUCCUCCCACUCUGUAAUCCCAGAUUGCUUCCUAAAUCCUGCUCAAACAAGGUGAAUCCCAACCUGCCUUUCCUUCCAUGGCGAAAAGCGUUCCUCUUCAGAGCCACCUCCUUGCUUGGGCAUUGAAGAAACCUCAGGGCUCAGAACGAAGCUCUUCUAAUGAAGGACAUCCUCCUUGGCUGAGUCUAUUCAUUUCCACGAGAAGAUGAGAAGAAAGCAAGAAAGCAAGUGAAACACAUGGGUGGGUUGAGGGUGUUGGCCUCUGUCAGGCUUUUGUCUGUUCCUCUGUCCCUGAGAUAGCAAUAAAUUCUUUUCUGAGCAUAAA